GCCCCGCUAGCUCAGUUAGGAAGAGCACCGGUUUCCUAAACCGGGUGUCGUAGGUUCGAGUCCUAUGUGGGGCA
rnacentral:tRNA from 1 species